rnacentral:rRNA from 1 species
UACGUAGGAGGCAAGCGUUGUCCGGAAUUACUGGGCGUAAAGCGCGUGUAGGUGGUGGGACAAGUCUGCUGUGAAAGCGCCUGGCUUAACCGGGCGAGGUCGGCGGAAACUGUUCGACUUGAGGACGGUAGAGGGGGGUAGAAUUCCACGUGUAGCAGUGAAAUGCGUAGAGAUGUGGAGGAACACCUGUGGCGAAGGCGCCUUGCUGGCCGAUUUCUGACGCUGAGGCGCGAAGGCUAGGGGAGCGAACGGG